UCGGGAGUCCGAUCCCUUAGCACUGAACCCAAGUCCCGCACCUUCCUGCAUACAGAUGCUCCCAGUUCAAAGGACCGCUGGGACCCGAGCCCAGAAGGUGCAGCACCGACGCCCCCCCUACCCCCCGGGGGCCGGCGCUUGUCCCGCGGCUCUGCAGCUGGCCUAGGCAGCCAGGCGCGGAGCUGGAGGAGGGGGACCCGGGGUGGCGCCUGCUGGCCUAGAGCACACCCUCAGAAGGUGGAUUCCUGGGGAAAGUGACGAAGGAUUUCUUCCCAGCUGACAAAACAACGUGGAGUGCAUUGGCGGGACCCUUCACUCGGGGCUGGCAUCGGGGGCUGUCUCUUUGGAUUGGGGGCCACGCCGCUUCCUUGCUCUCAGAGUGCACAGGAGAGAAAAUGAUCAGGACGGAGCUGGUUUGAGUGAUAAAAAGAGCCGCGGGCUGAACAAAUGGAGGGUCUAGCCCUCAAAAUCAAAAAAGACUGAGUUAACCGCUUGGAGAGGUGGCAUUGUUGAUUGUAAGGGGAACAGGACUGGAAGGCCUCAGCUACCUUGUGGGCAACGGCCCCUGGAGGAUGAAAAGGCAGAGGAUGUCCCCGAUCGGCAGUGGCCCGAGGUUGUAAAUACAGUCCGGACAUGAGUCCUUUUUCAGGGGCAAGUUUGGGACCUGAGUGACCAUCUGGACCUUCGUUCAUUUCUCAGAGCCUUUGGUAUGUUGCUUGAGGUCCGUCCCAUGCGUACACGGUUAGAGACGGCAUAGAGGGUCCCGCGUGUGUUCACCACCAGAACAUAAGUGCCUCCAGGCUGAAGCUUGUCUGGCUGGUUCGCUGCUGGGAGCUAGAGCCUGGCAGACAACAGGUGCUCAGUGACUUGUGGUUGACAUCUGCUGUUAUUAUCUGCUUCACAGAGGUUGAGAGCUGGGAAGAUGACGGCUGACAGCAUGGAGGGCCCGCAGUGGCACUGGGCAAAGGAAUGUUCCAUGGCAGACAUGCACAGACCACUCCUACAGUCUCCACACAGUAAGAGGUGAGAAGUAGACAAGGGUCUUGUACAUCCUCUGGAUCACUUCUUAAAAAAAAUGUUUCAUGCUUAUUUUUGAAAGAGAGAGAGACAGAGGGUGAGCAGGGGAGGGGCAGGGAGAGAGGGAGACACAGAAUCGGAAGCAGGCUCCAGGCUCUGAGCUGUCAGCCCAGAGCCCGAUGUGGGGCUCGAACUCACUAACUGCGAGAUCAUGGCCUGAGCCGAAGUUGGACACUUCACUGACUGAGCCACCUGGGCGCCCCUAGGAUCACUUUUUUUUUUUCCUGAGGCCACAUGUGAAUAUUAAAAAGGCUUCAAAAUUCAGGGGGUAAUGAAACUGCCAGUUACAAUAUGGAGGAUGGAGAUUUCUUUCCACAUAGGCAUGUUCUCUAGUGAUAAAGAAAAAAAUAGUGAAGCUGUUUAGGUUCCCUCUUCUGAUACAGCCUUUGGCCUACUCUUUGGCUUUUUCUUUGAAUAUUUUGGAGGAAGUGUUGGCAUCUGAGAGUUUUCAAACAAACAAACAAACAAACAAAAAACCAAAUACUGCCGUGCAAGUGGAUACGGCCAAGGAAUUGGGUUUUGUGUUCAGGACAGCUUCUGAAAGGGCCCGGACUUCCCCAAAACCUAUUGCAGAGGGCAAGUUGAUUUGGCAUAAGAGAUUGAAAUUUAGCAAAAGGAAAUGUGCCCCAGAGUAACCAGUGGCCCCAAAUUAUGAACAACUGAAAUCAUUCCCUCUCCCAGCCUGAAGGGCCUGGUUGCACCACGCCAAACAGCCUGGGUGUCGGCUUCGUACACAAUGUCGUUUUUGGCUCACAGAACAUUGCAAUCGGAAGAGACACAGAGAAUUCCUUCCGGUAUCCGGUGCAGAGAGAAGGGCUAUGGUAGCAACACCACACUCUCCAACCUCUGCUCCACAGCUUGGUGCUUUUUAAGGUGAGCUCUGCGUUGAAUAGUCUGGGCUACUUCUUCCAGGGCUCAUUAGGGUGAAGACACAGUAUGGAAGGUGGCACAUUUUUCCACCAAGCGAAGGGUUCAUUGAGUAAGACGCUCUUUUUCCUCCAUUUAUCCAUAGAGCCAGGCAGCCCAAGCGUGGCACCGACUCCCAGUAGAAGCCCUCACUGCCACAGGCAGGGCACUGCAAUGGACACAGUGGGCCCCAAAACAUAUGGUCUCUGAACAUGGACAUCACACCUUGGGUUUGGAGGAAAGAUAUACAUCCUUCAACACAUGUAAGAUUUCCCAGCGUGGUAUGAACUGGGUGAGAACAGAGGGCCUGAGCUAAUAAUCGUUGGCCUAGGCAGCUGGGAAAUGCUUCCAUGCUGAAAGGACGCUUGGCCUUGAUUUGUGGGGGGAUCUGGCUUUUGCCAGGUGGAGAAGGAGGAAAUUCUAGAGGGCAUACCCAUACCCUGUCUGUGGGAAGAUACAAGGUACCCCGAGUUUGGGUGACAGGAGUGGGGAGGCAGGAAGAGCUGAAAGAUGAAGUUGAUAAGGCUUUGCUUUGGGGCCAUAUUGUCAGAGGUCUUAUCGUAUGAGAUAGGAUUUAGACCUGGUCUGGCAAGUCUUUGGCGGGGGGCAGUAACACUGGACAUGUUCUCCGGGGAAGCACGAUGAGAGCAAUAUUUUGGAUAGACUCUGGUAACAAAGGGGAGGGGGCUCUCUGGCUCAUGGCAGGAGCUGGGAACAAGAAACUGCUCUGGGAAGGUAGUUCGCUUGUGAUUAAACGUCAGUGGUUUGCGGUGUGGGGAGCACGGGCUCUGACCCCCGACUUCUUGGGUUUGAAUCCCGGCUCUGCCACUUACUGUUUGCAUAUUUUGUGCAUGUUACCUAGUCUCUCUGUGCCUUGGUUUUAUUAUCUAUAGAAUGGGGACAAUAGGAGCAAUUAGAGGAGAGUUUCUCGUAUUGGACUAUGAACACACAUCGGCUUCUUACAGUGCAGAUCCUGAUGUACUUGGCCUGUAGCAGAGCCCGAGAUUUUGCAUCUUUAAUUAGCUCCCAGAUGGUGUUAAUGAUGCUGGUUCACAGACCACAGGCUGAGUGGCUCAGUGGCUCUUAAUGGUUGUUUUGAAGAUUAUGUGAGUCCAUACAUGUAAUAAACACCAAGAACAGCCCCUGCCAUAAUAAGUAGCCAUUGUUAGGACCCAUAAGAAAGACUUGAAGUGUAUCUCAAUUAUUGCUUUUCAUGUGCUUUUCCCACUAGAAAGUUUUCUAAAGACAUUUACUUGCUACCUAAGCUCUCUUUCUCACCAGAUACCUGCAGAGGGUUAGCGUGGCUUUAUUCUGGAGGGAGAAUCCAAGCCACCCACAGCGAUGGGCCAUAUGAUUCAGCCACCGGAAAAAAUAACUUCAUAGUGGACAAAAGUUAUCACUGCGGAUCUUCCAGAUCUCCAUCAAGUUGGAAGAUGGGACACCUGGCCUUUUCUUUCUGAGCAGGACAUGGGAUUUUCCGUGUGCAAAACAGCUAGGUAGACAGUUGAGGAUCCUUUCAAACCCCAGGGUUUGGGCUCAAAAGAUCCGGGACAACCUCCAGCAGCUUCUACCCUUUUUCUUUGCAGGAAUUUUAGCUACGGGCGCUGUUGGGGUUGGGAGAGGCUACCUGCUUGGCUUUCUGUUAGAAGAGGGAGCAACGCAGUGCAAACGCAUGGCCUUGAAUUUUGCAGAGAACCUGGAAAAACGGGCCUAUGGAACUGGAUAACAAAGAACGCAUCAGUCACGCUUUGUAAGUACUCGGAAUUUUGUUUGCAAAAGUGAGGUUCUGGCCGAAAAAAGGACGCCCAAAUCUCUACCCUCCCCCUCCCCCAGUCACCCCCGUUUUCACGUUCAUCUGCUCUUGCUUCUGCUGUGAAGAAUCAGCUCCCUGUGGGGAGUGAAGAGUGGUUCUCUAGCAAAGAGCAACACAAGAACCUCUCGCGAAGUGCUUUAGAAAGCCACUCUACACGGGAAGGAAAGAGGUUUUGUUUCCAGCAGAACUUCUACAACGUGGACCCCCGACUCUCAGCAAAAGGCCAGCGCUGCUGACAAGAAAAGGAAAAAAAAAUUCCACUAAGAAAAAGGAGCAUUGGCUUGGGAGAUCCAGGCCACAGAUCAUUUCUCUAUGGCAUUUCCGGUAUGUGGAAGGAAAGGAAAAAUAGGAAUUACAUGGCUUGAGAUUUGGCUAAUUUCCUGGUAUUUCAUUGGAAGACCAUGAUCACUUAACUGUCACCUGGACUAAGUGCCCGAGCCUCAGUGUUAAUGUCUGCACAAUGAAGAUGAAAUUCAAGACUCAUUGUGAGCAUUCCUAAUGCUCCUCAUGUACCUGGUACAUUGUAGGCACUCCAAAAAUGUUGGUUGAAUGAAUGAAUGAACAAAGGGAUGGAUGUAUGGAUGGAUGGAUGGAUGGAUGGAUGGACAAAACUUGACAAGCAGCACUUUGUUUAUGUUAUAAAGCCCUGUGUAUCUUUAAAGGCUAUUUUGAUUUUUUUUGAUUUUUUUAAUGUUUGUUUAUUUUUGAGAGAGAGAGAGAGAGAGAGAGACAGAGAGAGACAGAGCGUGAGUGGGGGAGGGGCAGAGAGAGGGAGACACAGAAUCUGAAGCAGGCUCCUGGCUCUUAGCUGUUAGUACAGAGCCCGACGCGGGGCUCGAACUCACAAACCGGGAGAUCAUGACCUGAGCCGAAGUCGGUAGCUCAACAGACUGAGCCACCCAGGCGCCCCUCUUUUUUAUUUUCAAAGGCUAAUUUUAAUUGCCACUUCCUCCCAGAAGCCCCUUCCAUUUUUCCCACCCACCUUGCCCUCCAUCCCUGCGUGACAUCAUAGUGAUAAGCAAUUGUUGAGUGUGUGUGCCAGCCGCCGUCCCAAGCACUCUGAACACAUGACUCCAGCACUCACACACACAACAGUGAGAAAUUCCUCCUGUUUCAUGGGCAAAGACACAGGCCCAGGGAGUUAAUGUUUCUGACUCAAGCUAGUAGUUUGGUGGGUCCAGUGUCCCCAAACUCAGGUGUGGGAGAUGUCCAAACUUAAGAGAACCUUGGCGCUUUUGCAUGGAGUUACAGAGAUCACCUGAGGGCCACGUUUUGGAGGGCAGUUAUUUGAGGCUGUCACUAUUUCCUCCAUUACUCCUUGCUUUCCUCCAAGAGAUCCCUGGAGAGCGUAGGAGGUAGGAGGCUACCUUUGGGUCUGUACGUGUAGUUUAUGCCUGUGAUGUGGGGAAGGCAAUUUUCUAUUUCAGCUUCUGGAGGAUCUCACGCUUCCCGUGCCCUCCCUGGGCAGUCAGACAUGGAGCCCAAGGGGGUAUUGGGGUUCUGAUUUGUCCUUUUGGGGAGACUUUCCAUAAUGGGGUUUCUCACUCUUGACAUUCUCCCGUGAGAUGGGGGCUGACCAACGAGGAGUUUGAAGAAGUCUUGGGAAACCUCGACUCCUUGCCUCCCUGGUUAAAACUUGGUUAUUAGAGUGCAGAAAAGCUUAUUUUUGCUGUAAAAAGAAAAAUAAAGCAGAGGGCUUGCUAAGGCUCCUGUGGUUGCUUUUUUGUUGUUGUUGUUUAUAAGAAAUCUUUGGUACAUCCCCUUUUCCUCAUGGUAUUAUUGCCAUGCCUCAGUUUAUCCCCUCACUCUUGAGUUGCUGGGCAGAAUUUUACCACUGGUGCUGCCCCUUCCUUGGCCUUGGUUCUGCCCUUGACCGAGACAUGUCUCCCUGACUCAAUUUUCAGCCUUUUCUUCUUGAAACUCCCUCCUCUCUUUUCUUCCAUGAUCUUUCUGCUUCUCUGCUCUUUGAAGCCAACCUCCCUGUCCUUUAAGAGACGGGAAUUCUCCAGAAUCAUGGCCUCAGUGCCCGGGCCACCCUUCUCUCCCAGGCUUAUCUUCUACGUGCCCAUGGCGUUUAGCCCACACAUCAGUUCCCCCAUAUUCCCGGCUGCUCCCCGGAGUACUAGUCUUGUACGGGCAGAUGCUUUCACUUUGCUGGAACUUUUUGGUUGACACACCGAUCUCAGUGCCCCUAAAUCGACUCCUGCUGUGCCCCCCACUCAACACUGUCUCUUCUGUCUAUGUUUGAGUUCCGUUUCUAUUUCUCAAAGCUGGUUAUCUAAUGAAAACACGUCUCAAAUAUUUGUCAGUCAUCUACAGAGGUCAGCUGUCUGAAAAUGUGAGUGCUCGCUGGGGAGGGAGAGGAAGACAGUGUCCCUGCCCUCAAGGAGCUCACAGUCUAGCGGGGGAAGCAGUCAUGCCAGCCCGUGGGGACACAGCAGCAGGACAUGUGCGGUGGAUCCGAGCCGGCUGGGGGAGGGGAGGCUAGAAGGGCAAACAUUUGUUCUGUCCGGCUGUGCUGCACGUGGGCCGGGAGACUCCUAGCAGGUAUAAGGCCCGGUUGGAAGUCUGUAAAGCCUGCAUUCGCAGCAUUGGCCUAGGCUCCGUGAGAUUGGAAGGACGCCCUCUCGUGCAGAGGUUUAUGUGACAGGGGACAGCAGGACAUUGUGAUUCGGCUCACUAAGGAAAUGCAGCUUCACUUCUGAAUUUUUUCCUUCUUGACAUACAUCUUUUUUACAGUCGUUUUUGUUUGUUGGUUUGUUUUGCUUUUUGUGUGUUUUGUUUGUUUUUGUUUUGUUUUGUUUUGUUUUGUUUUAAACUCUAACGCUACUCUGAACCCUGAGGGUGCUGCUUGGGGUCAACUUUACCACUUCCUGAAAUCUAAUGACAUCUUUGAAACAGGACAUUUCUGUGAGUGUAACUUUCCUAUGUUUCUCAGUGUAUUAAAUCCAGAAGAUAAAUCUGUCUCCGUUAAAAAAUAAAAUCAGCUUCCUAAAGAGAGGCCUCCAGAGGACUCAAAGGCCGAGCCUCCCAUUUUAUAGACAAGGACACUGAGGCCCACUGACAUCAUCCUUUGUUUGCAUGUGGCCAGUGACUGGACAAAGCUGGGGCUCAGAAGGAGUCCCCCUCAGUUCUCCGGCUACAUUACUUUUUAGGGACGGGCAGAUUACAGAGGGCCCUAUGCGUCUGCUGGGCACCUGGCCCUAUAGCACUGGCUGAGGGUAGGCCGGCCUGGCAGGCAGGAUGGGGCCCUCCUGCCCAGUCCAGCUAGAUAGGGAGCUGGGAGAGCCCGGGGUGGCGUAUGCUAAGGUCUGAGAGAAAAUCAGCGCGGCUGAUGUGCACCCAGAGGAGGGCAUCGUUUCUCCUCACAUGGGGGAAGCUUCUGGACUAUUAAUAGGCUCCAUUUAUGGAACCCUUCCCAGGAACCCAGGGUGGGCCAAGCAAGGGACGUAAAUGACCUCACAUACCAUCCUUGUGCAAUAUGGACCAUUUUUGCUUUACAGAAGAGGAAACUGAGGCACAGAGCAGAGCUCUAGAAUUAGUUCCAGAACUGAGGUUCAAGCCUAAAGUGCGUCCCUCCUCUGGUGGACGCUUUGCCCUCCGGGACAGAGGGGCCACCGAAGGCCCGGCCUCCUGCACCUCCGCUCUUCCUUUCAAUCCCCUCUUUCUCCAGAAAGUUCUCAACUCAGCCCCUCAAUUCAGCCCUUCCUUCCUGUCUUCGCGUGGUUUCUGCCCGGGCGGCUGGUCAACUUGUUUCUUCUUCCCUCUGCUAUCGCUGCCUGGGACAGCCAAACACCAGUGAAACUUUCUUUGGGCCGAGUCCCUGACACCUUUUCUGGGGGAUCAGGCUCCCCAGUUUCCUGGUGGCGAUUUCUCCUGCCUCCCCACCCCUUUUCUCACGUUACUUUCACCUCCCCAUACGGAGGUGAGCUCCUGUCCCCCACCUCCACAUUGCUGCCACAUUCCUGCUCGGCCUGUCCCCAAGGGAUUAACUGGGACAGGCCCCGGGGGGGGGGGGGGUGUUGGCUAAUGAUUCUGUUGGUGACUGCUGGUUCUCAGGGGCUCCCACUGGAGAAUUUGAGAAACAGAGACUGUCCUGGGACAGGGCUGUGUGCGGCGGCCUGCGGACCUCCCCAGGGCGGCCCGUGUGGAAACAGGCAGGCUCCUCUGGCCCCAGGGACCCUGGGAAGACCUACAAGCAUCGCGUGAGACAGAGAUGGAGACGCUGAGACAGCUCUUCCGGUUUCUGUUCUCUGUUCUGUGAUAAGUCUCCUUUCUGCUCAACUGGGAUCCCUCUUUUGCAAGUGCCGGUCUGGCUGGCUUUCUGUUUUCCUGUUCUAUCAUUGCACUAAAGUCCUUCCUCAGCCUCCAUGUGGGCUAUUUUUUUUUUUUUUUUGGUGACAGACACAGGGCAUGAGCGGGGGAGGGGCAGAGAGAGAGAGAGAGAGAGAGAGAGGGAGGGAGACACAGAAUCCGAAGCAGGCUCCAGGCUCCGAGCGGUCAGCACAGCGCCCGACGUGGGGCUCGAACCCAAGGACCUCGAGAUCGUGACCUGAGAUGAAGUCAGACGCUCAACCGGCUGAGCUGGCCCGGUGCCCCUGGAGUUUUUGCCCAUUCAAGUUCCUAAGGGAUUUGCGGGUCCUCAGUGGGGCUUUUGACUGGUGGCUGCUGGGGCCUCCCUGUGAGAGAGCUCCUCUGCCUCCGGAGACCCGGUUUCAUCAGGGAAGCAUCGCCAGCCAACGGUCGCUUGGCCCGACCACUACUUGUUGCCAAGAGCGGGUGAUGGUGUCUUCUUCCCCUUCUUCUUCCCCUUCGUCUAGAAAGAUGAGGCACACGUGCAAGACUCCUGUCGCGGGGGCCGUCAGAAGGGCUUCCGUCUGGAUGGCUGGACAGAGGCUUUGCCAAAGUUUGUGUCGCUGAGGCCUGGCUUGGGGGCUUGGCCAAGCAGAGCGGGCAGCCAGAACAGAGCCUCGCUGUAGAGCCAGGAGGCUGGGCGAAGAGGGACCUGUUUAGGUCGUUUGGCAAUGGAGAUGGGUAGGGAGUCAGCUUCCAGAAGCAGGUGCUUUACAUUGUUUGUAAGACCCGGUCUUGAGGGGCUGCCCCACCCUACGGGAUGAUGGACACUUGUGUGGAGGAGGGUGUAUGGGGAAAGGCCCUUGGAACCCAGGCUGGGCGAAGGGCAGACAUGAGAAACCGAACUGGUCCUGGGGACACAUGAGGUCUCUGGGCGUCAGGAAAUCAGACCGAGGAGAGGGGCACAGGGGGACAACCCCGGGAAAGAUGAUCAAGGCCCCGAGGGCAGUGAAUCGGGAAGAAGUUCUGAGUGGAAGACAUCCCUGGGAAGGAUUGAAAACCAGUAUCACUGCCCCAUUGAGGAGGGCAGAACCUUAAAGCUUCUUGGAGGCUCUGAUGGGGCACAUGAGAGGCAAACCCUCAGGCAGAAGUGGAAAGCUGGAAACCACGAGAGAGAGUGUGUGCGGUGUGGGGGGUGGGGACAGGUCCGUGACCUUUCUAGUUCUAUUUUCAGGAUUCUGAAAUACACCCAAGUCCGACUUAACGCCUUCAUUGGAUGGAUCUGAACGACAAUAAUAAUAAUAAUAAAACCCAGCAAAAACAUUUAUAACUCUACAGGCCCGUGAUUCCUGCUCUGAUAGGCAUUCUUGAAUGUGGGGAAGAAACGAUCACUACUCUUGGAAUCGCGUGUGGCUGGCCCCCUUAGCUUUCAAUCUGAAUAAAGCAAUGAAAGCCUUCGCCUUCUCAGGACACCAGUCUUGCCCUUCAUAUGAUUUUACUUCCUAAACCCUGUUUUCAGAGCCAGGGAUAAAUUUCUUAUAAGUUUCCAGAUAACAGCCUUGUCUCUGUUCCAGUAACGUUGGGUAGUAACAGGGCUACAGUGAGCUGGUUCCAAUAAAACCCAUGCCAUUCAAGCUUCAUUUUGUCCAAUCUUUGGUGCACAAGGACAAUUGCUGAUUGGACAGUGUUUUGUACUCUAGGAAAAGCAAAAGAGAAUGGAGUUGAGGAUCCACCCUUACGUAGCUCAUAGCAAAUGUCUCAGAGACACUUACGAAGGGAAUGGUCAUUCCUAAAACCUCCUCCAGCCUGGCACCUUCUCUCUGUCACCUGCUAAUUUGAAGGUGGGGCAUUGCUCCCUGGCCUGGGUCAGUCCCUCCAGGGGCAUCCAUUUUCUAUAGACCGCCCCCCCCCCCCACCCCGCUCCCACUUCCUCACAAUUAGACUGUGAACCCCUCAGGGGCAGGGACUGCUUUUUAACCCACUACCCAUCCUUGCACAUGGCCCAUAAUGAGUAUGCAGUAAAUGUUGGUGGGAGGAAAAUGCUUCGCAAAAUUCCACAAGUGUUGGCUUUGAAGCUCUGGCUUUUUGCCUCAGAGCACGCGCAUUUUUAACCAUAAAGUGUGAUUAUGAAGGGCAGCACUAGACCCGGACCUUGACAUACGGUGUUGCCGUGUUCUGCCCCCCAGAGGUGUCUCCGAGAAUCCCCGCGUGGAGGAAGGGGGGCCCGCUGAGUCCCCACAGGGAAGCCUUCUCAGUCUGAGCGUUAGGUGCAAGGGGAGCCUGGAGACCAUCAAGAUGCCAAAGUCUCUAACUUCCAUUACAGGACAAGGGAUCUACAGUUUCUAGGAUUUUCAUGUUUGUUUGUUUGUUUGUUUGUUUUUCUCAGAGACUCAGACAAGAAUGCCACUUCCAGUAUAGCCUGGAGUAUUUGCACCCUAAUCUCUACGUACGGUGCAAAGGAAGAGCCAGUCUGGUGAGCUCCUUCCUUCUCAAACUCUCCACGUACACCCUUGGUCUCAUCCCCUUCUGCCGGAGUCCAGCUCCAGCAGGCCCAGGGGUUCCCAAAGGAAGAACGGCGUCGGUGAAAAUAAAAUAAAACUAGAAUAAAAAACUGGAAAAUAAAAAACUAAAACUACAAUAAAAAUGGACACAGGCAACGGCAGUGCGUUGAACUGGCCGAUUUAUCGCAGUGAAGGUGGCAUUAUAUAUGCUAGUGAUUUCCUUGUAGCAUCCGUCAACGA